UACGGAGGGGGCUAGCGUUGUUCGGAAUUACUGGGCGUAAAGCGCUCGUAGGCGGCUUUGUAAGGUAGAGGUGAAAGCCCGGAGCUCAACUCCGGAACUGCCUUUAAGACUGCAUCGCUAGAAUCAUGGAGAGGUGAGUGGAAUUCCGAGUGUAGAGGUGAAAUUCGUAGAUAUUCGGAAGAACACCAGUGGCGAAGGCGACUCACUGGACAUGUAUUGACGCUGAGGUGCGAAAGCGUGGGGAGCAAACAGG
rnacentral:rRNA from 1 species